CUACGGGUCGCACCAGUGAGGAAUAUUGCACAAUGGGGGAAACCCUGAUGCAGCAACGCCGCGUGGAGGAUGACGCAUUUCGGUGUGUAAACUCCUUUUAUCAGAGAAGAAAAUGACGGUAUCUGAUGAAUAAGCUCCGGCUAACUCCGUGCCAGCAGCCGCGGUAAUACGGAGGGAGCAAGCGUUAUUCGGAAUCACUGGGCGUAAAGAACGCGUAGGCGGGUUUUUAAGUCAGGUGUGAAAUCCUAUGGCUCAACCAUAGAACUGCACUUGAAACUGGGGACCUAGAGUAUGGAAGGGGCAGGUGGAAUUAGUGGUGUAGGGGUAAAAUCCGUAGAUAUCACUAGGAAUACCGAAAGCGAAGGCGACCUGCUGGGACAUUACUGACGCUGAGGCGUGAAAGCGUGGGGAGCAAACAGGAUUAGAUACCCGCGUAGUC
rnacentral:rRNA from 1 species